AGAGUUUGAUCCUGGCUCAGGACGAACGCUGGCGGCGUGCUUAACACAUGCAAGUCGAACGAUGAACCUUCCAUGAUCUAUUCGUAGAGAUUGGAAGCGGAUUAGUGGCGAACGGGUGAGUAACGCGUGAGCAACCUGCCUUAAACAACGGGAUAGCCUCGGGAAACCGGGAUUAAUACCGUAUGAGACCCCGCCUUCACAUGAAGAAGAGGUUAAAGAUUUAUCGGUUUAAGAUGGGCUCGCGUCUGAUUAGCUAGUUGGUGAGAUAAAAGCCCACCAAGGCAACGAUCAGUAACCGGCUUGAGAGAGUGAACGGUCACAUUGGAACUGAGACACGGUCCAAACUCCUACGGGAGGCAGCAGUGGGGAAUAUUGCACAAUGGGGGAAACCCUGAUGCAGCGACGCCGCGUGAGCGAUGAAGGAAUUCGUUUCGUAAAGCUCUGUCCUAGGGGAAGAUAAUGACAGUACCCUUGGAGGAAGCCCCGGCUAAAUACGUGCCAGCAGCCGCGGUAAUACGUAUGGGGCGAGCGUUGUCCGGAAUUAUUGGGCGUAAAGGGUACGUAGGCGGUUUCAUAAGUCAGAUGUAAAAGCGUGGGGCUCAACCCCAUAAAGCAUUUGAAACUGUGGAACUUGAGUAGUGGAGAGGAAAGUGGAAUUCCUAGUGUAGCGGUGAAAUGCGUAGAUAUUAGGAGGAAUACCAGUGGCGAAGGCGACUUUCUGGACACAAACUGACGCUGAGGUACGAAAGCAUGGGGAGCAAACAGGAUUAGAUACCCUGGUAGUCCAUGCCGUAAACGAUGAAUGCUAGGUGUCGGGGGUCAAACCUCGGUGCCGCAGUUAACACAGUAAGCAUUCCGCCUGGGG
rnacentral:rRNA from 1 species